rnacentral:rRNA from 1 species
AACGAACGCUGGCGGCAGGCUUAACACAUGCAAGUCGAGCGCCCCGCAAGGGGAGCGGCAGACGGGUGAGUAACGCGUGGGAAUCUACCCAGCUCUACGGAAUAACUCAGGGAAACUUGUGCUAAUACCGUAUACGUCCUCCGGGAGAAAGAUUUAUCGGAGCUGGAUGAGCCCGCGUUGGAUUAGCUAGUUGGUGGGGUAAUGGCCCACCAAGGCGACGAUCCAUAGCUGGUCUGAGAGGAUGAUCAGCCACAUUGGGACUGAGACACGGCCCAAGUGCCUACGGGAGGCAGCAGUGGGGAAUAUUGGACGAGGGGCGAAAGACUGAUCCAGCCAUGCCGCGUGAGUGAUGAAGGACCUAGGGUUGUAAAGCUCUUUCACCGGUGAAGAUAAUGACGGUAACCGGAGAAGAAGCCCCGGCUAACUUCGUGCCAGCCGCCGCAGUAAGAC